AUUUGGCCAGUAUCACAUGUCAAAACUCCCGUUAACUGUCCCUCUGUGAACAAUAACUGGAGAUUAUGAGGACACGCAUCAAGUAAGAUAAGAACAUGGCUUGUCACAAAAGUUGUUUUUCUCCAGGCAGAGAUCUCUUCAUAAAGAUGCAUAUUCAACUGUAAUAUUUCAAGGCCAGAAUUGCAGAGGAGAAGGGAAAAGGUGUUUUUAAGGACCUGGACUAUUACACAUCCCAUGGACUAUGAAAAUAACAAACAACAAACUCCCCACCAAAAAUAUCACUUGACUCCACGAUUGCUAAACAGAUGCUGAAAAUACUUUGGUCAUGUCAUGAGAGCUGAUUCACUCAAAAAGUCAAUCAUGCUGGGGUGAUCAGCAGAAAAAGGAGAAGAGGCUGCCCUAGCACUCGCUGGUUAGACAGAAUAAAAGAUGACAUUGGGAUGACCAUGGCAGAUCUGAAGGAGGCAGUGCAAGACAGAGGGGCAUGGAGAUUGCUGAUCGAAAGAGUGUUCAAAGAUCAGACAUGACUGAAUGGCUGAUGAUGACAGAGUUCUUUGCUACAUACAUCCCAAAUCUUCCUCCUUCUAAGAGGCUGGAUUCUAAGAAUGCUGUAGCAAUAUCAGAGGGACAGGAUGGCUCCAGUGGCAGAAAGAAGAAUUUAUUAUCAAUUGUAUACCUGUGCUUUGGCAAUGAGAUUCUUAAUUUUAAGAAAUGAGCAAAUUUUCUUUUUCAAUUCCACAGCACUUUUAGCCACACAGAUGAUUAUUCUCUGCAGUAUUGAAUAAUCUUCUCUACUGUGGGAAUCAUCGUCCUAGGAGCAACAUAAGUAGCAAAGCUAAAGUUCCAUGAACUGUAGGCUUUGAGCCCCCCUUUGCUUUUGGGACCCCACCCUCAUAUAACCUCUCUCUUGGAACCAAAGGACAUUCCACUUGAUGAUGGACUAAUGAAUCCAAGUAAUGGAUGUCUUGCUGGUAAUAUUUAUGUUUAUGGGCCAAGGGAAGGAGAAUUACUCCCCAAGACACUUGGCAACGCUGUGAUGUACUUUUUUCUGUCUCCCAGCUCAAUAAAGUCCAGCAGGCAUUUCCAGAAGUUCCCAGGGAAGUCUAGCAUGCUGCAAAGACCUAUGCAUACAUUAAUGAAGGUGACCUAGCAGUAGACGAGCUGUGACCACCUCCCUCCCCCAAACUGCCUUUGAUCCAGCUAAACAACAGAGUUAACUCAAGGAUGGACAAAAAGAAUUUCCACUCUGACACAAGGAAUGGCCCUUCUACAACUUAUAGCAAUUAAUUGAAUUUGCUCUGUUGUACCUCCUGACUUUAUACCAAAUCCUGCUUCCCGAUCAUUGGAAGAGUGGACCUCUCUACUACUGAAGUUUCCCUAUGAGUUUCGAAGAUGGUGCUGUGUUGUGGAGCAGAUGCCAACCAUAAUUGGUUUUAAUAUGCUGCUGCAGGCUGUGUAGCAGCUUGGGACAGAAUUCCAUAUGGUGCCUGAAUCUCGCUUGCUUGGACUGUCGCUGGCUGGACCAUCAUCUCCCCAGGAUAGAGGAACAAUGAAACACUCUGUAAAUCCACGGACUCUACUUAUGGACUAGAGUUUUUGAUGGAAAAGUGUCUUUCUUGUAUCUAUGGAACAUGUAUGCCCAAUUAUAUGCCAGCCAUUUAAGUUAUAUGCCAUUACAGACACAAUGUCUGGAGAUUGUAGGGAUCAUGCGUGUUUGUUUGUGUGCCUGUAUGUGUGUCAGGCCUCCCAGGUAAAGCAGACAGGAACUAUGACUAAAUAUGUUAAUUCUACCUUAUUGUUAGGCUACAUUAACAGAAUCUUGAAGUCUGAAGGUAGCCCUUUUGAUUGAAUUUCUAUCUUCUUUAUGUUUCCUUACAUGGGUGGCAUAGAACUGUAUGUUUAUAUAUAUGUAUGUAUAUGUAUUUAUUUUUCUUUUUAUAUUCUGUUUUUAAUGGUAUUAUUAAUUUAAUGGUUGUUUCCCAUAAAUAUACCCGCCCCACACAAUUGGCUGCAUCGAUUGUGGUUUCAUCAUCCUAGCCGGUAUCCGCUUCGGAUCUGAUGCUUUUCCCUCCCCUGCCCACCUCGCCUGCUGGUCGUGUCCAUCCUGUGGUGCGCAGCUGUUCAGCGUUGUUGCCGGAUUGCCCCUGUUGCUAUUCUGUCUAGCCGUGCUGUCAGCCUGCCGCAGAGUCACAUCUGUCAACAAUCUUCCCAUCAUGUGCCUUGUCCUGGUUAUGUUGUCCUAUUGUCUUUUUCUUGGUCUUGUAAUGGGUUCUAUUUGUGCUUCCAUCUUCCCAUCCAUUGUGACACCCUGCCAUUUCAUGGGUGAACAUCCCGGGUCUCUUGCGCUCCUGUUUGCCUGGCACGGAGGUGGUAAG